UGCCAAGGGCCCUUACACUGCAGCAGAACACAGCCCCAGCCAACCUCAGCCGCACGACUGUGGCCCACCGGCCGCCACACUUCCACCGUGCGGCCCACCAAAGCCCCCUGCGGGGCGACACGCGCCCGACAAAAAGACAUAACACAAAACCAAAGAAACUCACAACGACCACCUGUUCAGACUCUCGCGAGGCGACCCCUACCUCCUGAACCCCGGGAGAUCCCCGACUGAGCCCCCUUGCGACAAGCGCCGCCCCUCCUGAGCAGUGAUUUUUUUUUCAUUUAGGGGG
rnacentral:lncRNA from 1 species